rnacentral:tRNA from 1 species
GGUGCAUUGGACAAGGGGUUAAGUCACUACACUUUCAAUGUAGUAAUCACAGGUUCAAAUCCUGUAUGCACUA